UCCCUAGAGCGUCCAAGAUUUUUGGUUUCAAACCAAUUUCCUGCUGACCAGAAUGAAAUGGAGCCACAUUCCAGCACGAUGCACCUGCUGACCUCCUGCCCAGACCAUGGAAGACACUCAAUAAAAAGUAAGUGAUUAAAUGACAACCUCUACGGAAAAGAGUAUGGAGAUUUCUCAAAGAACUAAAAACAGAACUACCUUUUGGCCAGAUGCAGUGGCUCACACCUAUAAUCCCAACAUUUGGGAAGGCUGAGGCAGGUGGAUUGCUUGAGCCCAGGAGUUCAAGAUCAGCCUGGGCAACAUGGUGAAACCCUAUCUCUACAAAAAAUACAGAAAAUUAGAUGAGACUACAGGUGGCACACAUCCAUAGUACCAGCUACUCCAGAGGCUGAGGCGGGAGGAUCGCUUGAGCCCAGGAGGUCCAGGCUACAGUGGGCCAAGAUCACGCCAUUGCACUCCAGCCUCAGUGAUAAAGUGGCAUUCUGUCUCAAAAGAAAAAGAACUGGCCAAGCAUGGUGGCUCACGUCUGUAAUCCCAGCACUUUGGGAGGCCGAGGCAGGUGGAUCACAUGAGAUCAGGAGUUUGAGACUAGCCUGGCCAACAAUGAUGAAACCCCAUCUCUACUAAAAAUACAAUAAUUAGCUGGGCGUGGUGGCGGGCGCCUGUAAUCCCAGCUACUCAGGAGGCUGAGGCAGGAGAAUCAUUUGAACCCGGGAGGCAAAGUGAGCCAAGAUUGUGCCACUGCACUCCAGCCUGGGCAACAAGAGCGAAACUCAGUCUCAAAAGAAAAAGAAAAAGAGAGAAAAGAAGAAAGGAAAAGAAAUAUCAUUUGAUCCAGCAAUCUCACUGAGUAUCUAACCAAAG
rnacentral:lncRNA from 10 species